rnacentral:rRNA from 1 species
GACGAACCGUGCAAACGUUGUUCGGAAUCACUGGGCUUAAAGGGCGCGUAGGCGGGCCAGCCAGUCUGUGGUGAAAGCCUCCAGCUUAACUGGAGAAGUGCCGUGGAUACUGCUGGCCUCGAGGAGGGUAGGGGCAUCUGGAACGGUCGGUGGAGCGGUGAAAUGCGUUGAUAUCGACCGGAACAUCCGGUGGCGAAGGC